rnacentral:rRNA from 1 species
AGCGAACGCUGGCGGCAGGCUUAACACAUGCAAGUCGAGCGGGCAUCCUUGUGGUGUCAGCGGCAGACGGGUGAGUAACGCGUGGGAACGUGCCCUUCGGUUCGGAAUAACUCAGGGAAACUUGAGCUAAUACCGGAUACGUGCGAGAGCAGAAAGGUUUAUCUGCCGAAGGAUCGGCCCGCGUCUGAUUAGCUAGUGGGUGAGGUUACGGCUCACCAAGGCGACGAUCAGUAGCUGGUCGGCGAGGAUGAUCAGCCACACUGGGACUGAGACACGGCCCAGACUCCUACGGGAGGCAGCAGUGGGGAAUAUUGGACGAGGGGGGCAACCCUGAUCCAGCCAUGCCGCGUGAGUGAUGACGGCCUUAGGGUUGUAAAGCUCUUUUCUCCGGGACGAUAAUGACGGUACCGGGGGAAUAAGCCCCGGCUAACUUCGUG